GAUGAAGAACGUAGCGAAAUGCGAUAAGUAGUGUGAAUUGCAGAAUUCAGUGAAUCAUCGAAUCUUUGAACGCACAUUGCGCCCGCCAGUAUUCUGGCGGGCAUGCCUGUUCGAGCGUCAUUUCCACCAUCAGGCCCCCGGGCCUGUGUUGGGGACCUGCGGCUGCCCGCAGGCCCCGAAAUUCAGUGGCGGUCGCGCCGUAGCAACCGAGCGUAGUAACUAAAACGUCUCGCUCUGGCUCGCUGGGCGCGCUCCGGCCGUAAAACACCCCCCCUUUUCGCAAAGGUUGACCUCGGAUCAGGUAGGAAUACCCGCUGAACUUAAGCAUAUCAAUAAGCGGAGGA
rnacentral:misc_RNA from 1 species